UACGGAGGGGGCUAGCGUUGUUCGGAAUUACUGGGCGUAAAGCGCACGUAGGCGGAUUGUUAAGUCGGGGGUGAAAUCCCGGGGCUCAACCCCGGAACGGCCCUCGAUACUGGCAGUCUUGAGGACGGUAGAGGCUAGUGGAAUGGCGAGUGUAGAGGUGAAAUUCGUAGAUAUUCGCCGGAACACAAGUGGCGAAGGCGACUGGCUGGACCGUUACUGACGCUGAGGUGCGAAAGCGUGGGGAGCAAACAGG
rnacentral:rRNA from 1 species